UGGGGAAUCUUGGACAAUGGGGGAAACCCUGAUCCAGCCAUGCCGCGUGAGCGAUGACGGCCUUAGGGUUGUAAAGCUCUUUCACCGGUGACGAUAAUGACGGUAGCCGGAGAAGAAGCCCCGGCUAACUCCGUGCCAGCAGCCGCGGUAAUACGGAGGGGGCUGGCGUUGUUCGGAAUUACUGGGCGUAAAGCGUGCGUAGGCGGAUUGCUCAGUCGGGGGUGAAAUCCCGGGGCUCAACCCCGGAAGGACCUUCGAUACUGGCAGUCUGGAGGACGAGAGAGGCGAGUGGAAUUCCGAGUGUAGAGGUGAAAUUCGUAGAUAUUCGGAGGAACACCAGUGGCGAAGGCGGCUCGCUGGCUCGAUCCUGACGCUGAGGCGCGAAAGUGUGGGGAGCAAACAGGAUUAGAUACCCCCGUAGUCC
rnacentral:rRNA from 1 species